AGUAGUAGUAAAUGUAAUGCGACAAGGAGAAGGGAAAUAAAAGACAUCCAUCCUCCACAAAACUCAUCUUUUGAUGUUCACAAGCGAGAGUUGAAGGUGCAAAUUGUUGAUAUUAUAUGAAGGGCAAAAGGUGAAGAAAGAAUAAUGAAGGUGAAGGGAAUACUUGGAAAUCAAGAUUUGUGAGUGUAAUCGCUCAUAGUCACUAUGCGUGGUUUCAAACUGAAAGAUCGUUGUAAGACUACUCAAGUCCAUGCUUACAACGCUAACCCUUUUCCUACUAUUUCCCCAACUUCUUCCAAGCUCCAAUACCCUACAAUCGACUCCAUUUUGUCUGAAUCUCCUUUUCUUCCCUAUGGCCUUCCAAAAACACAUUCUUUUGAGCCCCCACUUGACCUUUCUCUCAAAUCUCUUGAUUUCGUUCAAUCCUUAGCUCACCUUUACCGCAAACUUCAGAUGACACAAGAUUUCGAUAAAUCUUUGCUUCAUUUAGAACAAUAUGCUCUGUUGUACACCCUUGGUGAUCCAAAAUUGCUACGUAGGUGUCUUCAAUCUGCUCGUCAACAUGCUGUUGACGUCCAUUCCAAGGUCGUGUUGUCUGCUUGGUUGAGGUUUGAGAGGAGAGAGGAUGAAUUGGUAGGAUCAUCACCUUUCGAUUGUAUUGGAAGAGUACUUGAAUGCCCCAAAACUGCUUUGCUACACGGCUAUGAUCCCAAAUCAGUUUUUGAUCAUUGCCAAUCUCAUGGGCCCCUCCAACCACCACCUAAUCAGAUCUCAGAUGCCAAUAAUUUCCUCACCUCAGAAAACGAUGGGGGCAUAGUUCACUUCUGCAUACAAAAUCAGGAGGUCAACUGUAUUCGAGGUAGAAUUGCAGCUCUCUCUGCUCCAUUAAAAUCAAUGUUGUAUGGUGAUUUCAUUGAGUCUGAGAAGGAAACAAUUGAUUUUACACACAUUGGCAUAUCUGUCGAUGGAAUGAGAGCUGUAGAUUCCUUUAGUAGGACUAGAAGAUUUGAUUCCUACCCACCGAACAUACUUCUCGAGCUUCUUUCAUUUGCAAACAGAUUCUGUUGUGAGGAACUCAAGUCUGCUAGUGAUUCAUACUUGGCUUCUUUGGUUUCUGAUAUUGAUGAGGCAUUCAUUCUAAUUGAUUAUGCUCUGGAUGAGAGAGCACCUCUGCUUGUGGCGUCUUGCUUGCAGCUAAUGCUAAGAGAGCUUCCCGGUUAUUUGUAUAAUCCAAAAGUUCUCUGCACAUUUUGUAGCUCUGAGGCUAGGGAGAAACUUGCCACAGUUGGGCAAGCUUCUUUCCUCUUAUAUUAUUUCCUUAGCCAGGUAGCAAUAGAAGAUAACAUGAUGUCCAAAGUUACGCUUAUGUUGUUGGAGAGAUUGAAGGAGUGUGCCACUGAAACAUGGCAAAAGGCACUAUCUAUGCAUCAACUUGGAUGUGUGUUGCUUGAAAGAAAGGAUUACAAAGAAGCUCAACAUUAUUUUGAGAUGGCAAUUGAGGCUGGCCAUGUUUAUUCAGUAGUAGGUGUUGCACGGACUAAAUUCAAGCAAGGGCAGAGGUUUUUGGCUUUUGAGCUAAUUAAUGGUAUUAUUUCAGAGUAUACACCUACGGGGUGGAUGUACCAAGAGAGGUCUUUGUACAGCUUAGGCAAACAAAAGAUUUUGGAUGUUAAUGAUGCCAGCAGAUUGGAUCCCGCCCUUCCUUUUCCGUACAAAUACAGAGCCAUUGUGAUGGUCGAAGAGGACCAGGUUGAGGCUGCUAUUGUGGAGAUAAAUCGAAUUAUUGGUUUUAAGGUCUCUCCAGACUGCCUUGAACUGCGGGCUUGGUGUUUUAUUGCACUUGAGGAUUAUCAAUCUGCUAUAAGAGAUAUCCGAGCAUUGUUGACUCUAGAGCCAAACUAUAUGAUGUUUCAUGGGAAAAUGAGGACUGACCACCUGGUUGAGCUUCUCAGUCUGCACGUCCAGCCGUGGAGCCCUGCAGAUUGCUGGAUGCAACUCUAUGAUCGAUGGUCAUCUGUUGAUGAUAUUGGUUCACUGGCUGUUAUACACCAGAUGCUCAUAAAUGAUCCUGGGAGGAGCAUUCUGCGAUUCAGACAAUCUCUGCUCCUAUUACGGUUAAAUUGUCAAAAAGCUGCAAUGCGCAGUUUGCGCCUGGCCUGGAAUCAUUCCACCUCCAAAUAUGAAAGGCUUGUGUACGAAGGAUGGAUUUUAUAUGACACUGGACAUCGUGAAGAAGCACUUGCCAAGGCUGAGGAAUCCAUUUCUCUCCAAAGGUCAUUCGAAGCCUUUUUCCUUAAAGCGUAUGCUCUAGCUGAUGCAACUCUGGAUUCUGAAUCUUCAUCUUAUGUCAUCCAACUGUUGGAGGAAGCACUAAAAUGUCCUUCAGAUGGUCUUCGCAAGGGACAAGCAUUAAAUAAUCUGGGGAGUAUUUACGUGGAUUGCAAUAAGCUGGACCUUGCUGCAGACUGCUAUGUCAGGGCCCUUGAGAUAAAACAUACAAGAGCUCAUCAAGGGUUAGCUCGUGUAUAUCAUCUAAAAGGUGAUCGGAAGUCUGCUUAUGAGGAAAUGACUAAGCUGAUAGACAAGGCUCAGAACAAGGCAUCAGCUUAUGAAAAACGGUCAGAGUAUUGUGAUCGUGACAUGGCAAAUGGUGAUCUCAGCAUGGCCUCACUAUUGGAUCCUUUAAGGACUUACCCUUAUAGAUACAGGGCUGCAGACGGUUUUCAAAUGGCUAUUUAAAGCCCUAUUAUUCUUGAUAAAAAUAUUGAGAGAUAUCUCAAUUAAUACUUUUUGCUGCCACAUCUUCUAAAAAACAAACAAUUAUACUUACAAAGAAGAUUGGGUUUCCAAUCCUUAGUAGAUGUAUCGGAGGACUUUUUUUGCUAAACUAUGGUUGAAUUUUUAACAUCCGCCUUCUCUCUAUGGAGCACUUCUAUAUGAAACAAAUACUGCUAGAAACUACAUCCCGACCAUUGCUGAAGAAACAUGUGCCUCUCAUGCGUAGAUAAAGAUGAUCCUUGUCAUGGAUGAGGUUGAGCAUAAUACUUGGUGGCAAGUGAAAUCAGCUACACCCAGUUUCUGGUUUGAUAACUGGACCAAACAAGGGGCACUAUACAUUCUGGAAGAAAAGAAUGCUGGGUAGGAAGAAUUUGAGGUAAGGAGUAUAAUUUCUAAUGUGGAGUUGAAUAGGCAGAAGCUGCUAAAUAACAUUUCAGUGGAAAUGACAGACCACAUCAUGGAUAGCAGCAGUUCAACCCUGUCAAUUCAAGGCCUGGUGGAUACAGAACACAAAAUUGUCUUUCACAAUAAAAAAUAUGCCUGUGAUUUGUUGAGGCAUAAAUAGCAAGCGAGGAGGGAUUAUGAGUUCAUAUGGGAAAAGGGCUUGCCGUUCAAAAUUGAUUUUUUCCUUUGGAGGGUAUGGAGGAGAAAGUAGCUUCUGAUGACAACCUAAAGAUGAUGAACAUUUGUAUUGCCUCUAGAUGUCGGUGUUGUGAUGCUCAUGAGCAGUAAACAAAAAUCCACCUAUUUCCAAAAGCUCCCGUAGUCACUGGGCUUUGGAAGUAGUUUGCUUCUGGUGCAUGUAUAUUUACAGAAGGGUCAGGGUUGCACCUCCAGAAACUCAAAAUUAAGUGGUGGAAACUGCAUGCUGCUCCAAAUUGCAGACAAUUUUCAAGGCUGUCCCAACAAUCAUCAUGUGGAUUUUAUGGAAGAAGAGAAACACAAUCAGGCAUGGAGGAAAUAUCUACUUACGGUAGAAUGGUACAGCGAUACAACAAGCUUAAGAUGCCAUCCAUAAACUAAUCAGAGUCAACUACCCUUUGGUUUGCAGGGGUACCAAUGGAAUGGCCAAGGAUACUGAACUACCCAAGCAGUUACAAACCUAAGUUGCACUAGAUGCUGAUUUGGUUGUAGACACCAGAAGGGUAUGAAGUGAAGUGCAACACUGAUGAGGCUAGCAAAGGCAAUCCAGGUCAAGGUCCUAUGGUUUCUCUCUAAGGAACAAUAUGGCUGAUCUUAUAUAUGCUCAAGCUGAGGACAUUGGGGUUGCAAUGAAUAUGGGUGAUCUUAUAUAUGCUCAAGCAGUGAUUAUGGCUAGCUUAGAGGCCAUAAUGUAUUGCUCUACACAUGGUGUAGGAUGUUCUCUUUGAAACUGACUCUCUGAGUUUAAAGAACAUAUUACAGGACGUAUGGAGAGUAACUUGGGGAAUUGCAGAACAGGUGGAGGAAGUAAAAGAAAUCAUGGCCACUCUCAGUGCACGAAUCAGACACGUUUAGAGGAGGAAACCAAUUGGCAGAUUUCCUAGCUAACACAACCAUCAAUCAACAAGGAAUACAACAUUAGCACACUUUUCAAGAUCUACCAACCAUAGUACUCAUGGAUGACCAGAGGGAGACUGAAGCAGUGGAGGAGCUCACAAGAGCCAUUUCUUUCAAACCUGACUUGCAAAUGCUUAAUCUUCGAGCAGCAUUCCAUGAGUCAAUGACUGAUUUCUCUCGUGC